rnacentral:rRNA from 1 species
GACGUAGGGCGCGAGCGUUGUCCGGAUUUAUUGGGCGUAAAGAGCUCGUAGGCGGCUUGUUGCGUCGACUGUGAAAACCCGCGGCUUAACUGCGGGCUUGCAGUUGAUACGGGCAGGCUAGAGUUCGGUAGGGGAGACUGGAAUUCCUGGUGUAGCGGUGAAAUGCGCAGAUAUCAGGAGGAACACCAGUGGCGAAGGCGACUACCUGGCCUGUUUCUUGACGCUGAGGCGCGAAAGCUAGGGGAGCAAACGGG